UACGUAGGGUGCAAGCGUUGUCCGGAAUUAUUGGGCGUAAAGAGCUCGUAGGUGGCGGGUCACGUCGGGUGUGAAAGCCCGGGGCUUAACCCCGGGUCUGCAUUCGAUACGGGCUUGCUAGGGUCCGGCAGGGGAGACUGGAAUUCCUGGUGUAGCGGUGAAAUGCGCAGAUAUCAGGAGGAACACCGGUGGCGAAGGCGGGUCUCUGGGCCGAUAUUGACGCUGAGGAGCGAAAGCGUGGGGAGCAAACAGG
rnacentral:rRNA from 1 species